rnacentral:rRNA from 1 species
UACGUAGGUGGCAAGCGUUGUCCGGAUUUACUGGGCGUAAAGGGAGCGUAGGUGGAUAUUUAAGUGGGGUGUGAAAUCUGGCCGCUUAACGGCCAGGCGCCAUCCCAUACGGCGCGACUGGAGUGAUGCAGAGGUCGGUGGAAUUGCCGGUGUAGUGGUGAAAUGCGUAGAGAUCGGCAGGAACACCCAGGGGGAAACCAGCCGACUGGGCAUUGACUGACGCUGAGGUGCGAGAGCGUGGGGAGCGAACCGG